rnacentral:rRNA from 1 species
GUCGUAACAAGGUCUCCGUUGGUGAACCAGCGGAGGGAUCAUUACCGAGUUAUCCAACUCCCAACCCCUGUGAAUUAUACCUUUAAUUGUUGCUUCGGCGGGACUUCGCGCCCGCCGGGGACCCAAACCUUCUGAAUUUUUUAAUAAGUAUCUUCUGAGUGGUUAAAAAAAUGAAUCAAAACUUUCAACAACGGAUCUCUUGGUUCUGGCAUCGAUGAAGAACGCAGCGAAAUGCGAUAAGUAAUGUGAAUUGCAGAAUUCAGUGAAUCAUCGAAUCUUUGAACGCACAUUGCGCCCGUCAGUAUUCUGGCGGGCAUGCCUGUUCGAGCGUCAUUACGCCCCUCAAGUCCCCUGUGGACUUGGUGUUGGGGAUCGGCGAGGCUGGUUUUCCAGCACAGCCGUCCCUUAAAUUAAUUGGCGGUCUCGCCGUGGCCCUCCUCUGCGCAGUAGUAAAACACUCGCAACAGGAGCCCGGCGCGGUCCACUGCCGUAAAACCCCCCGACUUUUAUAGUGACCUCGAAUCAGGUAGGACUACCCGCUGAACUUAAGCAUAUCA